rnacentral:rRNA from 1 species
CCUACGGGAGGCAGCAGUGAGGAAUAUUGGUCAAUGGGCGGGAGCCUGAACCAGCCAAGUCGCGUGAGGGAAGACGGUCCUAUGGAUCGUAAACCUCUUUUAUAAGGGAAUAAAGUGUGGGACGUGUCCUGUUUUGUAUGUACCUUAUGAAUAAGGAUCGGCUAACUCCGUGCCAGCAGCCGCGGUAAUACGGAGGAUCCGAGCGUUAUCCGGAUUUAUUGGGUUUAAAGGGUGCGUAGGCGGCCUUUUAAGUCAGCGGUGAAAGUCUGUGGCUCAACCAUAGAAUUGCCGUUGAAACUGGGAGGCUUGAGUAUGUUUGAGGCAGGCGGAAUGCGUGGUGUAGCGGUGAAAUGCUUAGAUAUCACGCAGAACCCCGAUUGCGAAGGCAGCCUGCCAAGCCAUGACUGACGCUGAUGCACGAAAGCGUGGGGAUCAAACAGGAUUAGAUACCCGAGUAGUC